rnacentral:rRNA from 1 species
GACGAACGCUGGCGGCGUGCUUAACACAUGCAAGUCGAACGGUGAUGCUCCAGCUUGCUGGAGUGGAUCAGUGGCGAACGGGUGAGUAACACGUGAGCAACCUGCCCCAGACUCUGGAAUAAGCGCUGGAAACGGCGUCUAAUACUGGAUACGAAACUGGCCCGCAUGGGCAUAGUUUGGAAAGUUUUUCGGUUUGGGAUGGGCUCGCGGCCUAUCAGCUUGUUGGUGAGGUAAUGGCUCACCAAGGCGACGACGGGUAGCCGGCCUGAGAGGGCGACCGGCCACACUGGGACUGAGACACGGCCCAGACUCCUACGGGAGGCAGCAGUGGGGAAUAUUGCACAAUGGGCGAAAGCCUGAUGCAGCGACGCCGCGUGAGGGAUGACGGCCUUCGGGUUGUAAACCUCUUUCAGCAGGGAAGAAGCGAAAGUGACGGUACCUGCAGAAGAAGCACCGGCUAACUACGUG